rnacentral:hammerhead_ribozyme from 1 species
GCACUGCUGACGAGUCCCGAACGGGGCGAAACAGCUGUCCAGUAC